AUGAGAGAAACACAGCAAUACAGACCUACAGGCUCUUACUCCAAACUCUUACUAGAAACAAAUAGACAAAAUAAACAGCCACAUAAUAUUCCUACUAAUCUAAUCACACAGCUUCCAGAUCAGCCAACCCUGGAUCCAAGCCUAAAAGCCCAGCCGCAAUCUGCAUACACCCAGUCCUCUGAGGAAAUUAGUCAACUUCCAGAAAAGCACCCAAACUCACAUCAAGGCCAUUCAUCUCCCAGCUCACUGGCUCAGGUCUUUCAUAGUCUUAACCAGACCACUAGAUUCACAAAUUAUAAUUUAAAGAGUACCACAGUAGCCCCUGUGGAGGUAUUCCAGAACUGGAGUCAACCCAUUGAACAAUUUAGUGCUACCAAAGCAUCACAGACAAAUAAUACAGAACUGGUCGAAACACUGAAGAAAAACACCUCUAAGGCUCCCAUGAGGACCACUGACAAUAAUGCCAGGGAAAAGAAGAAGUCUCAGAGUUGGUUGCCUGUGAUUGAAAAACAUGACAUCCCCAUUGUAGUGGGAGUCGGAGUUUCCUUAGCAUUUAUUUUCAUCACGAUGGCUUUCUAUUCUUUGUUUCGGAAAAAUGACCCUGAAGCAAAACCUACAGGACGAGCAGCUCUACGAGGCCUAGGUGGUCCAUGUAGGCACGGAGAACGUCUUGCAAUUGAAAGGACAUAUGAUAAUAAGGCUUUUGAGGAUGACAAUAUGGUUGCAGUAAUUGAGCAAAGUCCAAACACUUCUGAGACAAGAGCCCAUCCCCCAGGGUCCAGUCCAUCCACCUUGUUGAUGGAACCCUCUUAUGAUGAUGUCCAUGAGGAAGUACAGCCCACCCAGGAUCUACCAGUGAUAGUGGAGACACACCCUGAGCCCUCUGAGGAAGAGCAGUUGGAGACAUCCUUUGAAGAAAGCAAGGUCACCCCCUCCCCCCAAUCUGAUAUCCAGCUCCAGUGCAUGGAGGAUUGGAGAAGCCGAGAUUUCAGACAAUGCCAGGAUGCCCCUUCCCCGCCUCCGCCCAACCCGCCAGCUUCUCAGGAGGAAGGUCUCCGGUCCUCACUGACCCUGCAGACCAGCGAGCCCUGUGCCACUCCAGUCCACCACAGCAUCAACAUAUCGCAUGGCUCUUCCCCUCUCCUCUUGUCCCACUGCGUGUCCCUGGGCACAACCUCCGUGGCUGUGGACGUUCACUUCUACCCCUCAGCCUCUGGAGGUCCCAUUGGCAGCUCUGCCUUUGGGCCUCUGGGGCCUCAGGGCAGCUCCAGGCUUGAGCAUGAUCAAAUGGCACCUUCUGCUCACCAUGGGAAAUGAAAGCACUCUCAACAUCGACAUCGGCUUGUGAUGACUCACUAACUCACUAGAGCACUCUUUUAUGAGGACCUAGUCUUUGUCUUUUUAACUUUUUAUAUACGUAUAUUUAACUUGUGUAUCUUUAACUUUUUACAGAC
ensembl:lncRNA